UCACUUGUUCACACAUCAAAAUCAAAAGCCCUCGUCCUUUCUAGUGGAACAGUUGGACUUGCAUAUGUCUUUCUAUAUUAGGCUUUCCAAAUUUAGGCUUCCUAUGUUUCAGCUCUCUCUCUCUCUCUACAUAUACAUAUAUGAUUUGUAUUCUCUCUCUGGUCCUGUAAUGUAUGGGAAAGUAUUGUUUUGAUGGGUAAGGGAGGUGACAGAAGAGAGUGAGCACACAUGGUGUUUUCUUGCAUGAACUCCAUGCUUGAAGCUAUCUGUGCUCACUCUCUAUCUGUCAUCCCACCACUCUCUCUCUCUCUACAUACACACACAUAUAUAUAUACAGACACACACGCAGAGUAUAGUGAUGUUCUUUCUGCAAUUAAUUUGUAUAAUUAAAGUCUUGUACGUAUUCUAAAAUGAUACGUCAUAGCCCUUUGUAUGCAUAAUUUAUCUCUUCUGCGUGUUUGGAAGUCUAAUCCAGCACAAGAAAGUUGAGUUACAUAAUUCAUUUCAUACGAAACAAAUUAACAAUUGUCAUCGAAAUUUUUGCAUCUCGAUUAGGUUUGAUCCCACACUUUUUUGUUGCGUUUACGUGUAUCAUAUCUAAACCUAACUUGUGUAUUUAGGAUGUGGUGCUUGACAAUAUUAUAAUAAUCACCAUGAAAGGGAUUGACAUAUAUACUUCACAAAUGGUAUGAAUUUGUUGGGUGUGGCUUGAUAAAUGUUUUACACGCUUAUCCCGACUCUUAUAUAUGCAAUUUUACUUAAUUUAUUGUAAGUCAUCGUAGGUAAAAAUCAGAUUUGGAGGUACAUGGGAUUGAUGGAAAGGGUUAAGAGAGAAAUUGGAGGAAAUUCAAAAGUUUCGGGGAGUGAAAUUCGACUUAUGGAAAAGUUUGAACACUGAGGAAGAACAAUCGUGGAUGACUAUGGAGAUUCAAGAACAAACAUAGAAGCUUUUGGAAAUUGCAAGAUCAAUGUUUGAAGAUUUGGAGCGAAAAUGGUCAAAAUCAUACGAGAAACUCAAAAGUAGGAGCCAAAAUGCAAAACAAGAAAGAUGAAGUGCUGAUGACCGCAAUCAACCCGCCGUCCGUCCAAUUGUGUAUUAUUCAACAGUUGUUUUAUUUGGGGAUAUUUAAAUCCUUUUGUACACAUGAGUUUCAAUGUGAUUUAAGAUACGCCCAUGUUCGUCUACCAUUAUUCAAUGAAAAUGAAUUUGGAAUAGUAA
rnacentral:lncRNA from 1 species